GAGUUUGAUCCUGGCUCAGAACGAACGCUGGCGGCGUGCCUAACACAUGCAAGUCGAACGGAUCUGAGGAGCUUGCUUCUCUAGUUAGUGGCGCACGGGUGAGUAACGCGUAGAUAAUCUGCCUGAUGAUCUGGGAUAACACUUCGAAAGGGGUGCUAAUACCGGAUAAGCCCACGGAGUCUUUGGACUUUGCGGGAAAAGGGGGGGACCUUCGGGCCUUCUGUCAUCARAUGAGUCUGCGUACCAUUAGCUAGUUGGUAGGGUAAAGGCCUACCAAGGCUACGAUGGUUAGCUGGUCUGAGAGGAUGAUCAGCCACACUGGAACUGAGACACGGUCCAGACUCCUACGGGAGGCAGCAGUGAGGAAUUUUGCGCAAUGGGGGCAACCCUGACGCAGCAACGCCGCGUGAGUGAAGAAGGCCUUUGGGUCGUAAAGCUCUGUCAGAGGGGAAGAAAUGGAACGUGCUAAUAUCACGUUUUCUUGACGGUACCCUCAAAGGAAGCACCGGCUAACUCCGUGCCAGCAGCCGCGGUAAUAC
rnacentral:rRNA from 1 species